UACGAAGGGGGCUAGCGUUGCUCGGAAUUACUGGGCGUAAAGGGCGCGUAGGCGGAUAGUUAAGUCAGUGGUAAAAGCCCAAGGCUCAACCUUGGAACUGCCUUUGAUACUGGCUAUCUUGAGUACGGGAGAGGUGUGUGGAACUCCGAGUGUAGAGGUGAAAUUCGUAGAUAUUCGGAAGAACACCAGUGGCGAAGGCGACACACUGGCCCGUUACUGACGCUGAGGCGCGAAAGCGUGGGGAGCAAACAGG
rnacentral:rRNA from 1 species